rnacentral:rRNA from 1 species
CGCAUCUGUGCAUGCAGCAUAUCAAUAAGCGGAGGAAAAGAAACUAACAAGGAUUCCCCUAGUAACGGCGAGUGAAGCGGGAAGAGCUCAAAUUUGAAAUCUUAAAGGGUUUCCCUUUACGAAUUGUAGUUUAAAGAAGUGUUUUCUGUUGAGGUUUUGGUAAAAGUUCUUUGGAAUAGGACAUCAUAGAGGGUGAGAAUCCCGUAUUUGACCUUUACUUUCAACUUUGUGAUACACUUUCAAAGAGUCGGAUUGUUUGGGAAUGCAGUCCAAAAUGGGUGGUAAAUUUCAUCUAAAGCUAAAUAUUGGCGAGAGACCGAUAGCGAACAAGUACCGUGAGGGAAAGAUGAAAAGAACUUUGAAAAGAGAGUUAAGCAGUACGUGAAAUUGUCAAAAGGGAAGCGUUUGACACCAGUGUUGUUUUUCUGAAAAUCAAUUAAAGAACUGUUUAUGCUAAGUUGUUUAGACUUUAUCAGCUAACUGUUUAGUUUUGAGCUUUUCUUUAAUGCACUUUUCAGUUAACAAGUCAACAUCAAUUUCUUUUGCUGUAAAAAAGCUUGAGGAAGGUGGCUUGAGAUUCGUCUUAAGUGUUUAUAGCCUCUUGCCUAUGCAGUCGGAGAGAUUGAGGUCUGCAGCGUAGAUCCUUCGGGGCUAAAUGCAUUUGUGCUAAGUUAUAGCAUUUAUAGACAACUUGUUGACUAUGAUUUGUCUUGUAGCUUACUCGCUUAUGUUAUUUUACCUACGCUUAGGAUGUUGAACGCGCACAGAGUCUC